ACUUAACCUUCUUACGCUUACCUUGCCCUAGCCGCCGACCCAACGCCACUUACCAGCUCACAUCCGUUCUCCGUUCCCCGACCGAGCAGGCGAGCACCGCCGCCGCACGGAAGCCACCGGCGUCCGACACCAAUUAAUCUCCCCCUCCGCCUCACCUCACCUCACCACACCACGGCCACGCCGCCGGAUAGUCACCUAGCCGGAACGUCCCCCUCCACCUCACGUCCUCGUCCUCACCUCACCCGCGCCGCUGGUCCUGCACUUCGUCGGUCGUGCAAUCGUCCACAGGCAGACGUCUUCCUCCUCCGUUGGUCAUCAGUAACCCACUAUACAGCAGCAAGAGAGCAGCAACUGCAAUGGCGGUGGCUCUGGUGAACCAUCGACCCUCAAUGCGCAAUGCAAUGAGUUUAUUUUUCCGUUCACUCGAUGUUGUUAGAUCCUUCAGUGAUGUUUCUGCAACUCCCUCAAUGGGCACACAGGAGGAUGAGAAACUGAAGCCGAAGAAGAAUAAAAAGAAGAAUCUUUUUGAUGUUGCCCAAUUCCUACCCAACUGGGGAAUUGGAUAUCAAAUGGCCAAGAGCAAGUGGAGGGACCUCUCGUACAAGAUAACCAAGAUCAACUUGUAUAAGGAUGGACGUCAUGGAAAAGUGUGGGGAAUUAGGCACAAGGCCGGUUUACCAGUUUCAGAUACUCCUGUCAAGAUGAGUGGCGUAAACAAGCGUGGUUGGAAGUAUAUUAAUGAAUCCAAAAAGAAAAUUGAAGGCGCCCCCAAAGUGGAGAAGCAAUCCUCUGCUUAAAUUUGGCAAGACAAGUGGAUGGAACAAAUUGAUGGCGAGCUAGGAGCUACAGGUUACACAAGCAAGCUCGGCCUAAGAAACCAAGAAAUCUAAAGAUUUCACGGUGCUCUACCUAAUUCGCUGCCAUGUCUCGCAAUGAAUUGCCUGGAAAGCGAUCAGAGGUAAGUAAAUAAAUAAAUUAAUUAAUCAUUUAGUUGGGAAGGUGUCUGUCUAUUCAAUGCCAUUGAUUGCGGGCCAUCUUGUUUAAGCCGCAUUAACAUCGCGAGAUCAGGAUUUGUUUUUAUCGACCAAAGCAGUGUAUGGAACAGAAUGAUUCAUUUAAUCUACCAGAUUCAUCGAUCGCUCUAUAAAGAGCCGGGGUCUCUCCCAUUCACUUCACCACCCACCUGCUUCGA